CCUACGGGGGGCAGCAGUGGGGAAUAUUGCACAAUGGGGGGAACCCUGAUGCAGCGACGCCGCGUGAGUGAAGAAGUAUUUCGGUAUGUAAAGCUCUGUCAGCAGGGAAGAAGAAAGACGGUACCUGACCAAGAAGCCCCGGCUAACUACGUGCCAGCAGCCGCGGUAAUACGUAGGGGGCAAGCGUUAUCCGGAUUUACUGGGUGUAAAGGGUGCGUAGGCGGCCUGCUAAGUCUGGAGUGAAAGGUACCGGCUCAACCGGUACAGGCUCUGGAAACUGGCGGGCUAGAGAGCAGGAGAGGGCG
rnacentral:rRNA from 1 species